UACGAAGGGGACUAGCGUUGUUCGGAAUCACUGGGCGUAAAGCGCACGUAGGCGGAUGUGUCAGUCAGGGGUGAAAUCCCGGGGCUCAACCUCGGAACUGCCUUUGAUACAGCACGUCUCGAGCCCGGAAGAGGUGGGUGGAAUUCCUAGUGUAGAGGUGAAAUUCGUAGAUAUUAGGAAGAACACCGGUGGCGAAGGCGGCCCACUGGUCCGGUACUGACGCUGAGGUGCGAAAGCGUGGGGAGCAAACAGG
rnacentral:rRNA from 1 species